rnacentral:rRNA from 1 species
AUACGAAAGGUGCAAGCGUUGUUCGGAUUUACUGGGCGUAAAGAGAUCGUAGGUGGUUUAUUAAGUCGGAUGUGAAAUCCCGGGGCUCAACCUCGGAACUGCAUUCGAUACUGGUAGACUAGAGUUUGGGAGGGGUAAGCGGAAUUCCGUGUGUAGCAGUGAAAUGCGUAGAUAUACGGAGGAACACCUGAGGCGAAGGCGGCUUACUGGACCAAUACUGACACUGAGGAUCGAAAGCGUGGGUAGCAAACAGGAUUAGAUACCCUAGUAGUCC